rnacentral:lncRNA from 1 species
CUGGGCGUUCAAAACUUCUCACAAACGCCAUGGAUCCUGUCUGAUGAAGACUUCUUCAACUCGUAACAGUCGUCCAUCUUGUCCGCAAGGUAACGACACAAACAGUGAGCUUUAGAGCUUGUCACAUAUACAUCAAGGAGAUUUACCUAACAAACCUUAAAUCGUGCAGGCUGAGCUUCGAGAAGCUAAUACCACUGCAGCGAUUAAAGGCUAAUUAGGUAACCUCUUUGAUUCUGCAGAAUUAGACCAACUUUAAACAACAAUUGGUCUAAUUUAAAGUGUUCUGCAAUUGUGUAAAUGCUGUUGUAGGCCUGAUAUACUCUUUGCUGCUGUAUGUUUUGUUCAUGCCCUUCUCUAUUUCAAAGGUUUUGUUUUAGAUAUUGAAAUUAGCAUUUUGACAUUUCUUUAUCCUGAGAUUUGGUGUUUCAUGAAGUACUGCUUGAGCUUGUCCUGGUAGGUCUUCUACUGAUGUAAACUGAAUGUUAUUUGUACCUGCAAAACUGAAGAUAUAGUUAGUUCAAAAAUCAGCCAGUUUGUUCCCUUCCUUCUCUGAAAAUGUGUGUCACCACCACUUCCUUAUCUUUUAGCUCCUCCAUAAUGCACCUUGUGUCCACUGCUAUUCCCCAAGGAAAUUCCCAUAUUCUGUCAAGGACUUUUUUAAUUAUUAGUGAGUCUGUUUCCAUCACAAGAGGGAGAUAAUUGUUUUGCACACAAUACAGUAGACCACUUGUAAACGCUUUCACUUCAGCUUCUAAUGCAGUGCAAAAUGUUAUACAAUCAGUUUGUGCAUAGAUUAAAUCUCCAUGGCAGCUUCUCACACAAAAGCCUUUAGAGCUAAUUGAUAAUUGAUCUUUGCUAGAGCCAUCCGUAUUGCAUUUAAACACUCCAACAGCAGGCCAGCUCCAUCUUACUACUUUCCAAGAGAGCUUUGGGCUAUAUUCUUAAAAAAACUUUACCAUCCAAGGCCAAGAGCUUGGGAUAUUAACUAACCAAGGAUAUCUAUUCAUAGCAAAUAAAUGAAUAUUCCUGUUGAUUUCUCUUAACAUAGUGAAUCUGGAUAAUUUUCCUCCAUUUCUAAUAGCAUUUCUUCUUUUCCAAAUCUGCCAUAUGAUAAAUAUUGGAACUGCAUUAUAUAGAGGUCUCAAUUUAACAUUACAAUCAGCACCCCCACCAUUUGUCCAUUGUUUGCUUCAAUUGUAUAAAUGGUCCAUGUAUCCCUGCAGCUCCUGACAGAUUUCUCCAUAAAAAAUUGGCUUCUGGGCAUGCUACAAACAAAUGGUCAAAAGUUUCUGUUACAACAAACACAGACAACAGAGUCAACAAUUUUGCACCUAACUAAUACCUCUCCAAUAGGGAUUCUUUUAAACCACAUUCUCCAAAGAAGGAAUUGGAAACUCUGAAAGGUAUUCCUUUUUCCCAAAUAAACAUAAUAUCAUUCUGCUUGUCCUUCCUUUGUCUCAUCAUUUCCCAAGCACUUCUAACAGUGAAGUUUCCUUUACUGUUGGGCAUCCACCAUGGUUUGUCCCUCUCAUUACCUAUUAGGCCAGUCCCCAGGUUGGUAUUCACUUACUGACAUAUUUCAUCCCCAAACAUUUCCUUUAUCAUACUCAUAUUCCAUCCAUUAGUGCUCAUAACCUGAUUAACUUCUGCAAAAUCAUCAGUUAUUGUAUGAGUUAGAGGUUGUACUUAUGCAAUGCCCCUAAUUGAGUCCAAUUGUCAUGCCAUAGGCUAGCAUGACCCUCUAUUGGCUCCCACCAUAUCUCCUGGUCAAUAUUAUAUUGAGUUAAUUUUCCUAUUUCAUGGAAGCAAGAAAAACAAAUAUGUAAACAACAUAAAGGAAGUCAAGUUUUAUUAGGUGUAAGUAAAAUUCCAUAGAUGGGGUGUCUUCUAUUUCAGUGAAAUUUUCAUGCUUAAUUAUGAAUGUUUUCCUUUUUAACGCAUUUCAUAGAGAUAUUUUAGGAAUAUCAAAAGUUGUACAUAAUGUAAUUAAAAAUUUUAAAAUUAGAAUAAAUUAUAUUUAUGUAAUUUUCUAAAAGUAGAUGUAACUUUUUAAAAUACCUUUUUAAAAAGUUGUAUUGGUAUAAUUUUCUCUUCUUUUUUAAAAUUAUGAAAAGAAGUACUAACUACUACUAAUAUAGUACUAUAUGUUACGUUUUUUUCUUUUUGGUGUUGAAGUAUGGGUUAGGUUACCCCUUGUGUCUUUGACGUGCUAUUUUAUAAGGGAAAAUUGUAUAUAAUAGCAAACUAUUCAUUUAAAGUAAAUGUUAUAGCUAUAAUUUACUUUAUUUCCAAUUCGCAACUACUGUUUCAUAUAAUUUGCUAUAUCAAUUUCUCCGAGCGAAAGGACAAGAAAAUGGCUGCUUCUUUGGCUGUUGUUACAAAACUGGCGGGAUUCAGAAAUAGAGUAUACAAGAAAAUGGCCUCUGCUUCAGGCAUAUAGUUGUAUAUAAAAAAGAAAAUUUAUUUUUUUCAUGAAUUUUCGUUUACAUAUACAGAUUCAACUAAUACAAAUUUUUAUUUAUAUACAUAUUACACAUAUAUACAUAUACAAUUGAAAAGCACAACAAAAAGAACAUAUACUUGUACAAAUUACAGUGAGUGAGAGAGAUUUGAUAUACAAACGUUUUAUUUCGAUUCAAUUGUAUACUAAUUCAAAUUUUAUGUAGAUAUGCAAACACAUAAAAUUGAAUUGAGAGGCUGCUAGCGAUUUAUACAAACGAGAAGCUGACAGCGAAAUUAUACAAAUCUGAAGAGGAGCCAGCGAGUUAUACAAUCUAAUGCUCCAUAGCAAACAUAAAGUUUGCUAAGGAGCGCAAUUAUACAAACUAUAGCUAUAGCAUACAAAUUUGAUUUUUAUGUUUCCUAUAUGUGAAAGUUGCUCAUUUUAUAAUUAC